rnacentral:rRNA from 1 species
UGCCCCAGUAACGGCGAGUGAAGCGGCAACAGCUCAAAUUUGAAAUCUGGCCCCCAGGGUCCGAGUUGUAAUUUGCAGAGGAUGAUUUUGGCGAGGUGCCUUCCGAGUUCCCUGGAACGGGACGCCACAGAGGGUGAGAGCCCCGUCUGGUUGGACGCCGAGCCUAUGUAAAUCUCCUUCGACGAGUCGAGUAGUUUGGGAAUGCUGCUCUAAAUGGGAGGUAUAUGUCUUCUAAAGCUAAAUAUUGGCCAGAGACCGAUAGCGCACAAGUAGAGUGAUCGAAAGAUGAAAAGCACUUUGAAAAGAGGGUUAAAUAGUACGUGAAAUUGUUGAAAGGGAAGCGCUCAUGACCAGACUUGGGCCCGGUGAAUCAUCCAGCGUUCUCGCUGGUGCACUUUGCCGGGCUCAGGCCAGCAUCAGUUUGCCCCGGGGGAUAAAGGCUUUGGGAAUGUGGCUCCUCCGGGAGUGUUAUAGCCCAUUGCAUAAUAUCCUGGGGCGGACUGAGGUUCGCGCAUCUGCAAGGAUGCUGGCGUAAUGGUCAUCAGCGACCCGUCUUGAAACACGGACCAAGGAGUCGUCUUCGUAUGCGAGUGUUCGGGUGUAAAACCCCUACGCGUAAUGAAAGUGAACGCAGGUGAGAGCUUCGGCGCAUCAUCGACCGAUCCUGAUGUUCUCGGAUGGAUUUGAGUAAGAGCAUACGGGGCCGGACCCGAAAGAAGGUGAACUAUGCCUGUAUAGGGUGAAGCCAGAGGAAACUCUGGUGGAGGCUCGCAGCGGUUCUGACGUGCAAAUCGAUCGUCAAAUAUGGGCAUGGGGCGAAAGA